UUAAGCGACUAAGCGUACACGGUGGAUGCCCUGGCAGUCAGAGGCGAUGAAGGACGUGCUAAUCUGCGAUAAGCGUCGGUAAGGUGAUAUGAACCGUUAUAACCGGCGAUUUCCGAAUGGGGAAACCCAGUGUGUUUCGACACACUAUCAUUAACUGAAUCCAUAGGUUAAUGAGGCGAACCGGGGGAACUGAAACAUCUAAGUACCCCGAGGAAAAGAAAUCAACCGAGAUUCCCCCAGUAGCGGCGAGCGAACGGGGAGGAGCCCAGAGCCUGAAUCAGUGUGUGUGUUAGUGGAAGCGUCUGGAAAGGCGCGCGAUACAGGGUGACAGCCCCGUACACAAAAAUGCACAUGCUGUGAGCUCGAUGAGUAGGGCGGGACACGUGGUAUCCUGUCUGAAUAUGGGGGGACCAUCCUCCAAGGCUAAAUACUCCUGACUGACCGAUAGUGAACCAGUACCGUGAGGGAAAGGCGAAAAGAACCCCGGCGAGGGGAGUGAAAAAGAACCUGAAACCGUGUACGUACAAGCAGUGGGAGCACGCUUAGGCGUGUGACUGCGUACCUUUUGUAUAAUGGGUCAGCGACUUAUAUUCUGUAGCAAGGUUAACCGAAUAGGGGAGCCGAAGGGAAACCGAGUCUUAACUGGGCGUUAAGUUGCAGGGUAUAGACCCGAAACCCGGUGAUCUAGCCAUGGGCAGGUUGAAGGUUGGGUAACACUAACUGGAGGACCGAACCGACUAAUGUUGAAAAAUUAGCGGAUGACUUGUGGCUGGGGGUGAAAGGCCAAUCAAACCGGGAGAUAGCUGGUUCUCCCCGAAAGCUAUUUAGGUAGCGCCUCGUGAAUUCAUCUCCGGGGGUAGAGCACUGUUUCGGCAAGGGGGUCAUCCCGACUUACCAACCCGAUGCAAACUGCGAAUACCGGAGAAUGUUAUCACGGGAGACACACGGCGGGUGCUAACGUCCGUCGUGAAGAGGGAAACAACCCAGACCGCCAGCUAAGGUCCCAAAGUCAUGGUUAAGUGGGAAACGAUGUGGGAAGGCCCAGACAGCCAGGAUGUUGGCUUAGAAGCAGCCAUCAUUUAAAGAAAGCGUAAUAGCUCACUGGUCGAGUCGGCCUGCGCGGAAGAUGUAACGGGGCUAAACCAUGCACCGAAGCUGCGGCAGCGACGCUUAUGCGUUGUUGGGUAGGGGAGCGUUCUGUAAGCCUGUGAAGGUGUGCUGUGAGGCAUGCUGGAGGUAUCAGAAGUGCGAAUGCUGACAUAAGUAACGAUAAAGCGGGUGAAAAGCCCGCUCGCCGGAAGACCAAGGGUUCCUGUCCAACGUUAAUCGGGGCAGGGUGAGUCGACCCCUAAGGCGAGGCCGAAAGGCGUAGUCGAUGGGAAACAGGUUAAUAUUCCUGUACUUGGUGUUACUGCGAAGGGGGGACGGAGAAGGCUAUGUUGGCCGGGCGACGGUUGUCCCGGUUUAAGCGUGUAGGCUGGUUUUCCAGGCAAAUCCGGAAAAUCAAGGCUGAGGCGUGAUGACGAGGCACUACGGUGCUGAAGCAACAAAUGCCCUGCUUCCAGGAAAAGCCUCUAAGCAUCAGGUAACAUCAAAUCGUACCCCAAACCGACACAGGUGGUCAGGUAGAGAAUACCAAGGCGCUUGAGAGAACUCGGGUGAAGGAACUAGGCAAAAUGGUGCCGUAACUUCGGGAGAAGGCACGCUGAUAUGUAGGUGAAGUCCCUCGCGGAUGGAGCUGAAAUCAGUCGAAGAUACCAGCUGGCUGCAACUGUUUAUUAAAAACACAGCACUGUGCAAACACGAAAGUGGACGUAUACGGUGUGACGCCUGCCCGGUGCCGGAAGGUUAAUUGAUGGGGUCAGCGCAAGCGAAGCUCUUGAUCGAAGCCCCGGUAAACGGCGGCCGUAACUAUAACGGUCCUAAGGUAGCGAAAUUCCUUGUCGGGUAAGUUCCGACCUGCACGAAUGGCGUAAUGAUGGCCAGGCUGUCUCCACCCGAGACUCAGUGAAAUUGAACUCGCUGUGAAGAUGCAGUGUACCCGCGGCAAGACGGAAAGACCCCGUGAACCUUUACUAUAGCUUGACACUGAACAUUGAGCCUUGAUGUGUAGGAUAGGUGGGAGGCUUUGAAGUGUGGACGCCAGUCUGCAUGGAGCCGACCUUGAAAUACCACCCUUUAAUGUUUGAUGUUCUAACGUUGACCCGUAAUCCGGGUUGCGGACAGUGUCUGGUGGGUAGUUUGACUGGGGCGGUCUCCUCCUAAAGAGUAACGGAGGAGCACGAAGGUUGGCUAAUCCUGGUCGGACAUCAGGAGGUUAGUGCAAUGGCAUAAGCCAGCUUGACUGCGAGCGUGACGGCGCGAGCAGGUGCGAAAGCAGGUCAUAGUGAUCCGGUGGUUCUGAAUGGAAGGGCCAUCGCUCAACGGAUAAAAGGUACUCCGGGGAUAACAGGCUGAUACCGCCCAAGAGUUCAUAUCGACGGCGGUGUUUGGCACCUCGAUGUCGGCUCAUCACAUCCUGGGGCUGAAGUAGGUCCCAAGGGUAUGGCUGUUCGCCAUUUAAAGUGGUACGCGAGCUGGGUUUAGAACGUCGUGAGACAGUUCGGUCCCUAUCUGCCGUGGGCGCUGGAGAACUGAGGGGGGCUGCUCCUAGUACGAGAGGACCGGAGUGGACGCAUCACUGGUGUUCGGGUUGUCAUGCCAAUGGCACUGCCCGGUAGCUAAAUGCGGAAGAGAUAAGUGCUGAAAGCAUCUAAGCACGAAACUUGCCCCGAGAUGAGUUCUCCCUGACCCUUUAAGGGUCCUGAAGGAACGUUGAAGACGACGACGUUGAUAGGCCGGGUGUGUAAGCGCAGCGAUGCGUUGAGCUAACCGGUACUAAUGAACCGUGAGGCUUAACCU
rnacentral:rRNA from 1 species